rnacentral:lncRNA from 1 species
GGGAAGUGCCCAUGGUGGGAUUGAACUCCCCAGGCACAGGUCAUGGUGGUACUGGGGGUAGAGGGGUGUCGGACAUGCCCCAUUAAAGCCCUUUCCUCCAGCUGAGCUCAACUCCCCAAAUGCUAUGACAAGUGUCCUACGUUAUCUGCCUUCCAUGAGGUUCUUGACCGCCCUUGAGGACAGAUGUAGCCACUGCUGGGCGAAGGGACACAUGGAAGCCUCCGGCCCACCAGCCAAGGAUCAGCUGAGCCCUGGGGCUGAUGCUUGCCCCCACUGCUGAGAAUGACACCGAGGCCCAGCCAGGCACCAGGACAAAGGUUAACCCGGGACACUCCUGGACAGUGAGCCUGAUGUCUGUUCUGAGCCGUGCACUCGGAGGUCUGAUAAGAGAAAGAGGCCGCCGUCCAGUGAGCUGCUGGUUCUUCCUGAUGCAGGCCUUCACAGGGCUUUGA